rnacentral:rRNA from 1 species
UACAGAGGGGGCAAGCGUUGUUCGGAAUUACUGGGCGUAAAGGGCGCGUAGGCGGCCUGCUAAGUCGAACGUGAAAUCCCCGGGCUCAACCCGGGAACUGCGUCCGAUACUGACAGGCUUGAAUCCGGGAGAGGGAUGCGGAAUUCCAGGUGUAGCGGUGAAAUGCGUAGAUAUCUGGAGGAACACCGGUGGCGAAGGCGGCAUCCUGGACCGGCAUUGACGCUGAGACGCGAAAGCCAGGGGAGCAAACGGG